rnacentral:misc_RNA from 1 species
GUCCGCACUGCUCCUUCUCUCAUUCUUCAACAGCGAAGAGGCCGGAGUGCAGGUUUUUCUUCUCUUUACAGGGAUGUCGGAAUGGAGAUUCAUGUAUGUUUUCUCACGAUUCAGUUCCAUCUGCUUAUUCUGGUGUUCUGUCAAGUCUAUGCCUGCCGGAAAAUGCUGCAGCUAAUAUGUGGUCACUUCUGCAGUGGUUUCCUGUACCCUAUCAUGGGUGCA